rnacentral:rRNA from 1 species
UCUGGAAUGCCGAAGAGAUUUGGCAGUGCUCGCAAGAGAACCGGAACACAGGUGCUGCAUGGCUGUCGUCAGCUCGUGUCGUGAGAUGUUGGGUUAAGUCCCGCAACGAGCGCAACCCUUGUCAUUAGUUGCUACGAAAGGGCACUCUAAUGAGACUGCCGGUGACAAACCGGAGGAAGGUGGGGAUGACGUCAAGUCCUCAUGGCCCUUAUGGGUAGGGCUUCACACGUCAUACAAUGGUCGGGACAGAGGGUCGCCAACCCGCGAGGGGGAGCCAAUCCCAGAAACCCGAUCGUAGUCCGGAUUGCAGGCUGCAACUCGCCUGCAUGAAGUCGGAAUCGCUAGUAAUCGCGGAUCAGCAUGUCGCGGUGAAUACGUUCCCGGGUCUUGUACACACCGCCCGUCACACCAUGGGAGUGGGUUUUACCAGAAGUAGUUAGCCUAACCGCAAGGAGGGCGAUUACCACGGUAGGAUUCAUGACUGGGGUGAAGUCGUAACAAGGUAAGCGUAGUGCU